rnacentral:lncRNA from 1 species
CCGCUGGACGCCUACGAGGGCACAAUACGAAAGAGCGAGAGGAGUAUAGAAAGACAAGGAGUUUAUCUAUUAAACGAAAGUAUCUUACAGAUACGACAAAUACGAGCGAAGUAGAGGCGAUAAUUAACGCUUAAUCCAAUCGCCGGAGGACUCCGUGUUGGAGGAAUUUUGGCAAAUACAUUUUGGUGCCUCCUGUGAGGUGUGAAUUUCUGAUUCCUGGUUUGAGUGAAGCUGCGUAUACGGAAUCGCCACUGAGAAAAUCUAGUUCCUGAACAUACACGCUGCCACGUCGAGCUAGUCAUCACAAAGGAUUCGAAAAGGAGAUAAGUAGAUUGCAUCAUUUGUGCAUACGUUUAUGCGUAUCCACUUUAAAUAUUAUAAAAUAUUCUAUAGGAAAUUACGUCUUCGAACCCCGUAGAAGUUCGUAAUUUCUAAUAUAAAUUUUAUUAUUUUCUCUCAUCUUUCUUACUAAAUUGGUAUAUUAAAAUCGGAAACAACUCAUUCGAAUCCACUUCAAAUUUUAACCGAAGUAACGUAUAUUAAUAGAAUUUGAAAAUCGCUUUGUUCACGGACAAAGGGCGAGAAUAGUUUCGACGGUUACAUCGCUCAGCAACGGUACACUUGUUCAAACAUAAGAUUAGGCGACAAAGAAAUCGUGACGUCAGUAAGACCCUACGUUCGGUAAACUUACCACCCCCCUUUACCAACUCACAGCUCAGGACCGUAACCGCGUGAUCGAAAACCCGACGCAUCAUAACAAAAAAUUUAUAUAUUAAAAUCUUCGCACUCAACAUAAUUUAUAUUAAUCCAUCUUCGAAAAGUAAGAUAAUUAACGUCGAGACAAAAUGGAAUCGGUAAAACGUCUUAGACGGGAACGAAAGAUUUUGAAGGGCCGAUUAACUUAUUUAGAAAACUUAGUCAGGAAAGAGAAUUCAGAGACGGACGAAUUAGUAGAUCGCUAUGAACGUCUUACUGAACAAAUAAACGAAUACGAACGAUCGCAUCGAGAGUGUAUAGAUUUAGGCCCCGAAGAGGACGAGGAAUUUGACGAUUUAGAAGAUCUUUUUAACCGAUAUCAUUCAAUCGGAUCUACAAUUACGAAAAGGAGAACAUCCGCGGCUAACAUUGCGAACGAUAACAGCAUAACGUCAAAGCAGACUAGUACGACCGAACGACCGAUUAAAUUAAAACGAAUUGAGAUACCUAAAUUUGAUGGAAGAUUAGAAAAAUGGUUAGAAUUUAAGAAAGGUUUUUUUAACUUUGAUAGACGCGCGGACCGAUAUAUCCGAUCUAGAAAAACACGCCUAUCUUCGAGAUGCAUUGCAGGGCCGUGCACUCGAAGUGAUUACACUAUAUUCAGGGGACGGGUCGAAUUACAAACUCGCGUGGGAAGCAUUAUUAGAAAAA